UAGAAUACUAAAAUUUUCUAUAUAUUAUUUGAGAUAAGUUUCUAUCAAAUAUUAUAAUUUUAAAUCUUUUUAU
rnacentral:tRNA from 1 species